rnacentral:misc_RNA from 1 species
GAGAGAAGUAUAUCCUAAUUCAUGUAGUUUCUUUCUUCCAGCCCCACCCUCUGUUCAAGCAAUCAACACUGCCAAACUUCUGUCAGAUCUGCCUUUCCCCAUCCACACUAUCAAAAUUACCAUCAUCACUGCCACCAUAAAUGCUUCAGUUCAAUUAUUAUUAUUUAUUAUUCAUAUGAAAAAAGGUUACUUUUUUAUGUUUUUAGCUUUGUGAUCAAAUGAAAUGGGAAUGUGGGUGGUGCUGUAAAUGGGGUUUUCUUGGUUUUUUCUUUGUGGGUUUUUCACUUCGUGUGUGUUUCUUGCUCAGGUAGUAUUUGUAGUGAGCAUGUGUUAAGGUUGCUGUAGAUUAACACAGAAAUAUAGAGGAAAAAUGUCAGAAAUGAGAGU